rnacentral:tRNA from 1 species
GUCAGUGUUGCACAACGGUUAAGUGAAGAGGCUGUAAACCCAGACUGGAUGGGUUCAAUUCCCAUCUCUGCCG